CGGUUGAUCCUGCCGGAGGUUACUGCUAUCGGGGUUCGAUUAAGCCAUGCAAGUUAAAUGUUUUUCGUAAACAUAGCGAACUGCUCAGUAACACGUGGAUAACUUAACCUUAGGUCCGGCAUAACCCCGGGAAACUGGGGAUAAUUCCGGAUGUAUCAAAGAUGCUGGAAUGCCCUUUGGUUCAAAGCUUUUGUGCCUAAGGAUAGGUCUGCGGUCUAUCAGGUUGUAGUGGGUGUAACGUACCUACUAGCCGACGACGGAUACGGGUUGUGAGAGCAAGAGCCCGGAGAUGGAUUCUGAGACAAGAAUCCAGGCCCUACGGGGUGCAGCAGGCGCGAACACUUUACAAUGCGGGAAACCGCGAUAAGGGAACCCCGAGUGCCAGUACUAAGUGCUGGCUGUCUAGAUGAAUAGAUAUCAUUUAAUAGCAAGGGCCGGGCAAGACCGGUGCCAGCCGCCGCGGUAACACCGGCGGCCCGAGUGGUAACCGAUAUUAUUGGGUCUAAAGGGUCCGUAGCCUGUUUAAUAAGUCCUUUGGGAAAUCUGGCAGCUUAACUGUCAGGCUGCUAAAGGAUACUGUUAAACUUGGGACCGGUAGACGUAGGGGGUACUCCAGGGGUAGGAGUGAAAUCUUGUAAUCCCUGGGGGACCAUCUGUGGCGAAGGCGCCCUACGAGAACGGGUCCGACGGUGAGGGACGAAAGCUAGGGGAGCAAACCGGAUUAGAUACCCGGGUAGUCCUAGCUGUAAACGAUGCUCGCUAGGUGUCAGGCACGGUGCGUCCGUGUCUGGUGCCGCAGGGAAGCCGUUAAGCGAGCCACCUGGGGAGUACGGUCGCAAGGCUGAAACUUAAAGGAAUUGGCGGGGGAGCACUACAACGGGUGGAGCCUGCGGUUUAAUUGGAUUCAACGCCGGA
rnacentral:rRNA from 1 species